UACGUAGGGCGCGAGCGUUGUCCGGAAUUAUUGGGCGUAAAGAGCUCGUAGGCGGCCGGUUGCGUCUGCUGUGAAAUCCCGGGGCUUAACCCCGGGCGUGCAGUGGAUACGGGCCGGCUGGAGGCAGGCAGGGGAGAAUGGAAUUCCCGGUGUAGCGGUGAAAUGCGUAGAUAUCAGGAGGAACACCGAUGGCGAAGGCAGCCCCCUGGGUCAAGAUUGACGCUCAUGCACGAAAGCGUGGGGAGCAAACAGG
rnacentral:rRNA from 1 species